AUUGAACGCUGGCGGCAUGCUUUACACAUGCAAGUCGAACGGCAGCGGGGAGGAGCUUGCUUCUCUGCCGGCGAGUGGCGAACGGGUGAGUAAUACAUCGGAACGUGUCGAGAAGAGGGGGAUAACCACCCGAAAGGGUGGCCAAUACCGCAUAAAUUCUGAGGAAGAAAGCUGGGGACCUAGGAAUAGGCCUAGCGCUUUUUGAGCGGCCGAUGUCGGAUUAGCUAGUUGGUGAGGUAAAGGCUCACCAAGGCGAAGAUCUGUAGCGGGUCUGAGAGGAUGAUCCGCCACACUGGGACUGAGACACGGCCCAGACUCCUACGGGAGGCAGCAGUGGGGAAUUUUGGACAAUGGGGGCAACCCUGAUCCAGCCAUGCCGCGUGUAUGAAGAAGGCCUUAGGGUUGUAAAGUACUUUUGUUAGGGAAGAAAAGUCAGCUGUGAAUAAUGGCUGAUACUGACGGUACCUAAAGAAUAAGCACCGGCUAACUACGUG
rnacentral:rRNA from 1 species